rnacentral:rRNA from 1 species
AGAGGAACUUGUUCCUUGGGUGGCGAGCGGCGGACGGGUGAGUAAUGCCUAGGAAAUUGCCCUGAUGUGGGGGAUAACCAUUGGAAACGAUGGCUAAUACCGCAUGAUGCCUACGGGCCAAAGAGGGGGACCUUCGGGCCUCUCGCGUCAGGAUAUGCCUAGGUGGGAUUAGCUAGUUGGUGAGGUAAUGGCUCACCAAGGCGACGAUCCCUAGCUGGUCUGAGAGGAUGAUCAGCCACACUGGAACUGAGACACGGUCCAGACUCC